UGGGCUGUAGCUCAGUGGCAGAGCACUUUUCUAGCAUGCAUGAGGCACUGAGUUUGAUCCUCAGCAUCACAU
rnacentral:tRNA from 1 species